rnacentral:rRNA from 1 species
AAUGGGCGAAAGCCUGAUGCAGCGACGCCGCGUGAGGGACGACGGCCUUCGGGUUGUAAACCUCUUUCAGCAGGGACGAAGCGAAAGUGACUGUACCUGCAGAAGAAGCACCGGCUAACUACGUGCCAGCAGCCGCGGUAAUACGUAGGGUGCAAGCGUUGUCCGGAUUUAUUGGGCGUAAAGAGCUCGUAGGCGGUUUGUCGCGUCGGAUGUGAAAACCUAUGGCUUAACCAUGGGCCUGCAUUCGAUACGGGCAGACUAGAGUUCGGUAGGGGAGACUGGAACUCCUGGUGUAGCGGUGAAAUGCGCAGAUAUCAGGAAGAACACCGGUGGCGAAGGCGGGUCUCUGGGCCGAUACUGACGCUGAGGAGCGAAAGCGUGGGGAGCAAA